ACUACUGCGCAGUAGCAGUAUUGUAGCCAAUGAGGUUAAUCCAAGGCGCAAUUAUUGUUAAUUGAAAACUUUCCCCAGUACCCCACCAUGACUUAGCAUAUAGUCGGCAUUGGCAAUUUUUUGACAGUCACCACAGAU